rnacentral:rRNA from 1 species
UUAUGGUGGGCACUCUAAGGAGACUGCCGGUGACAAACCGGAGGAAGGUGGGGAUGACGUCAAGUCAUCAUGGCCCUUACGGCCUGGGCUACACACGUGCUACAAUGGUCGGUACAGAGGGUUGCCAAGCCGCGAGGUGGAGCUAAUCCCACAAAACCGAUCGUAGUCCGGAUCGCAGUCUGCAACUCGACUGCGUGAAGUCGGAAUCGCUAGUAAUCGCGAAUCAGAAUGUCGCGGUGAAUACGUUCCCGGGCCUUGUACACACCGCCCGUCACACCAUGGGAGUGGG